UUGUUCUUCUAUCACCGUUCGCAUUUGAAAGUGGUAAUGUCAUAAAUUAUGAGAUGAGUCGUUGAAUAAUUGAGAUUACUGUGUCAAAAAUGGGCCAUUCCUUCACGCACCACCGAGAGAAUAGCACAGUCUGAAUAUUUACUUUGCAACUGUCAUUAUCAAUAAUUCAACGUAAAACACAACCAUAGUUUGGCUGCUGGAAUUGUUCGUAUCGAUCGAAAGUGAUUUGAAAUGUCUCGCCAGUCUCGUCGAUCGAAUGUUGGGCAGCGUUUGACAGUGGCAUCGUUGCUCGAUGAAGACGAGAAAAAUGACUAUGAAAAUAAGCAGCCAAACGAUGAAUUCUUGAUCAGAUUGGUCAUCGAACGAAAUUCGGCACGUAAACAAUACAAGGAUUUCCAGGAAAUGAACGCCAAAAUGUUAGAAAAACUUCGGGCUAAAUCAAUUGAACUGACCAAAAAGAUUGCUGAACGCCGAAAUCAACUUGAACGAGGUUCACAAUAGUUUCUGCUCAAACAAUUUCUCUUUUUUUUUGUCAUUUUUUUCUUCUAUGGAAACGAAAACAUAUCGAAUAAAAAACCAAAUUCGAAUUUAAA